GUGGAUUAGAUACCCUGGUAGUCCUAGCCUUAAACGUUGGGUACUGAGUAGAAAGGGGACCGAUACCCCCUUCUGCUGGAGCGAAAGUGUUAAGUACCCCGCCUGGGGAGUAUGGUCGCAAGGCUGAAACUCAAAGGAAUUGACGGGGGCUCACACCAGCGGUGGAGCAUGUGGCUUAAUUCGAGGCUACGCGAAGAACCUUAUCCUAGGCUUGACAUGUACGGAUUAGCCUCCUGAAAGGGAGGUGACAGCCCGAAAGGGUCGGAACGUAUACAGGUGCUGCAUGGUCGUCGUCAGCU
rnacentral:rRNA from 1 species